CUUGUAGAGCCUACAGACAAGCACACAUCAACGUGCCCUUGCCCGCUCCUAUCUCAGAAUCCCAUCUAUUCUCUUCUCUCUCCGCCUCCUCCCCAUCCCAUCUCUCAAUCCACCCGACAAGAUGACUGAGAAAUCCAUGGAUUUGCCAUAGGAAUGCUAGGAAUUAGUUUUCACUUCCCUUGACCACCAUCGUCACUUUGAAUCCCUCUCAUUAGUCUCCACUUUGUUCCUCUCUAUCACCGAUCAGCUCCGCUGUACCCUAACAAUCUCUUCCCAGGUUGUUCCUUUGCUUCCCCGUUUUCUCGAAAGAUUCCCAAAUCUGAAAGCAAUCGAAAUUCGAGAAUUCGAGGGUGACCUUAAUUCCCUUCUCUAUCUAAUCUCUAAAUCUAGGUUGGACCUCAAAACCCUUGGUUUCUCAAACCAAAGUCACUUUCCCUUAGUUGGUUCGAGGGAAUUGGGUUGAGAAUGAGGAAUCUGAGGAAAUUGAAUUGCUCAAAGCUAGGUCAUUUUAAAGAUAGUGAUCUAUUUGUAAUUGGAACUUGUUUUCCAUUGCUUGAAGAUCUUGAUAUUAGUUUUCCCCAGUAUAAUUCUCGUUUUAAUCCUAAUGGGUCUUUGGAUUUGCAAUCUUUCUCCGGGGUUGUAACGGAUGAAGGGAUUGUUGAUUUGGCAUUGAAGCUCAAUAAGCUAUGAAAGAUCGACUUUUCUGGAUGCUAUAGUAGCUAGGAGGGAGGAGCUAACACAAAUCACACCCAACAACAUCAAUUAGAACCCACUUUACUUGAAUGUUGUCGAAGGCGGCGAGAAGAGACGAAAAGUGUAUGGUCUUAGAUCUGAAUCAUCUACCUUUUACCCUUUAAUUGGAGCAUCUUCGAGUCGGGCGUUUACAUUAAGCUCUAGUCCAAAUGCUGCCUUAUAACAACGAAUAAAAGAGUUGGAGAAACAGCUUGAGAAUGAGAGGCAAGCUAUGAUAGAUCGUAUUGAUCAAUUGAAAUUGCAAAUGGAGUUGCAAAUGGAGACAAAUAUGGAACGUAUGAGAAGCUCUAUGAUGGAGGAGGUGAUGAGACUAGUCUGAGGUCUACCAACACCUCCAUCUCCAUAAAAUUGUGGGUUUUAAAUUUUAUAUUUGACUUAUUGGAUUUUAGUAUGUUUUAUUUACAGAUAUGGAUUUUAUAUUUAAUUUGAUACAUUUAGUAAUUAUUUUUA